rnacentral:ncRNA from 2 species
AUUUAAUAGCUGAAUAUCGGUUUUUAAGAUUAAAAGGGAAGCAGGUGUAAAUCCUGCACAGUCUUGCUGCCGUAUUGAUGAGAAUGUUUUCACAAGUAUUAAAAAGUGUAUGUUUUAAUACUUAGCCACUUUUAGGGAAGGCGAAAACAAACUUUGAUUCUUAGUCGGAAGACCUGCCGAUAUUUGCCGCAUAUA